CCUACGGGAGGCAGCAGUGCGGAAUAUUGGUCAAUGGGAGAGAUCCUGAACCAGCGAAGCCGCGUGAGGGAAGACGGCCCUAUGGGUUGUAAACCUCUUUUGUCGGGGAGCAAAACCCGGGACGUGUCCCGGACUGCGUGUAUCCGAAGAAAAAGCCUCGGCUAACUCCGGGCCAGCAGCCGCGGUAAUACGGAGGAUGCGAGCGUUAUCAGGAUUUAUUGGGUUAAAAGGGUGCGUAGGCGGUACGUUAAGUCAGCGGUAAAAUUGAGGGGCUCAACCCUGUCGAGCCGUUGAAACUGGCAGACUUGAGUGGGCGAGAAGUACGCGGAAUGCGCGGUGUAGCGGUGAAAUGCAUAGAUAUCACGCGGAACUCCGAUUGCGAAGGCAGCUUACCGGCGCCAGACUGACGCUGAGGCACGAAAGCGUGGGGAUCGAACAGGAUUAGAUACCCGGGUAGUC
rnacentral:rRNA from 1 species